GAGGAUAUAGCUCAGUGGUAGAGCACAUGCUUAGCAUGCAAGAGGUCCUGGGUUCAAUCCCUGGUACCUCCA
rnacentral:tRNA from 1 species